GUGGGAAAGUAGGUAGAGGUGGGGGCUUGAAAUGAGGCGGAAAAUUAGGAUGUUUAUGAUGUGGUGGAGGCUUGAAGGUAAAUGGAGAUGGUGGGGAUUCUAUCGGAGGAACUGAUCCUGGUGGUGGCGGUGGACAUGUGUUAAUAUAAUGAGGUGGACCCGAGUAUGACGGUGGUGAUGGAGUUGGUGAGGGGGAACUUUUCGGGGGAGAUUUAUAGACGUAAGGUGAUGGUGAAGGUGAGGGAGAUGGUUGUUCUUUGGAUGGAGAUGGGGGAGAUUUGUAGACGUAAGGCGAUGGAGGAGAUUCAGUUGGGGGUGUUGAUGGUGAACUUGAUGGAGGGGGUUUGUAGGUGAAGGGCGAUGGAGGAGUUUCGGGGGAAGAUGAUGUUGGAGGAGGUGUUAGGCAUGCAUUGAUCGGAGGUGAUGGUGGAGGAGGAGGUGUUAGGCAUGCAUUGAUCGGAGGUGAUGGUGAUGGUGAAGUUGAUGGCGGAGACUUAUAGACGUAAGGAGAUGGAGGAGAUUCUUUUGGUGCCGGAGAUGGAGAUGGUGGAGAUUUAUAUACAAAAGGUGAUGGAGGAGAUUCUUUUGGUUUUGGAGAUGGAGAGGGGGAGGAUGAUGGUGGAGAUUUGUAGACAAAAGGAGAUGGAGGGGAUUCUUUAGGAGUUGAAGGAGAAGAGGGUGGUGGU
rnacentral:lncRNA from 1 species